rnacentral:rRNA from 1 species
CUGUGGGUUCCAAAGCUAACGCAUUAAAUAGACCGCCUGGGGAGUACGGCCGCAAGGUUAAAACUCAAAUGAAUUGACGGGGGCCCGCACAAGCGGUGGAGCAUGUGGUUUAAUUCGAUGCAACGCGAAGAACCUUACCUACCCUUGACAUCCAGAGAACUUACCAGAGAUGGUUUGGUGCCUUCGGGAACUCUGAGACAGGUGCUGCAUGGCUGUCGUCAGCUCGUGUUGUGAAAUGUUGGGUUAAGUCCCGCAACGAGCGCAACCCUUGUCCUAUGUUGCCAGCGGUUCGGCCGGGAACUCAUGGGAGACUGCCGGUGAUAAACCGGAGGAAGGUGGGGACGACGUCAAGUCAUCAUGGCCCUUACGGGUAGGGCUACACACGUGCUACAAUGGUCAGUACAAAGGGUUGCCAACUCGCGAGAGUGCGCCAAUCCCAUAAAGCUGGUCGUAGUCCGGAUCGGAGUCUGCAACUCGACUCCGUGAAGUCGGAAUCGCUAGUAAUCGUGGAUCAGAAUGCCACGGUGAAUACGUUCCCGGGCCUUGUACACACCGCCCGUCACACCAUGGGAGUGGGCUGCAAAAGAAGUGGGUAGUUUAACCUUCGGGAGGA